GAUGAACGCUGGCGGCGUGCCUAAUACAUGCAAGUCGAACGAACAGACGAGGAGCUUGCUCCUCUGACGUUAGCGGCGGACGGGUGAGUAACACGUGGAUAACCUACCUAUAAGACUGGGAUAACUUCGGGAAACCGGAGCUAAUACCGGAUAAUAUAUUGAACCGCAUGGUUCAAUAGUGAAAGACGGUUUUGCUGUCACUUAUAGAUGGAUCCGCGCCGCAUUAGCUAGUUGGUAAGGUAACGGCUUACCAAGGCGACGAUGCGUAGCCGACCUGAGAGGGUGAUCGGCCACACUGGAACUGAGACACGGUCCAGACUCCUACGGGAGGCAGCAGUAGGGAAUCUUCCGCAGUGGGCGAAAGCCUGACGGAGCAACGCCGCGUGAGUGAUGAAGGUCUUCGGAUCGUAAAACUCUGUUAUUAGGGAAGAACAAAUGUGUAAGUAACUAUGCACGUCUUGACGGUACCUAAUCAGAAAGCCACGGCUAACUACGUG
rnacentral:rRNA from 1 species